ACACUACUUGCGUAUGGGUCAACCGCGAUCAUGAAGGCGGUUCCCCGGGGCGAAUUCAGGACUUGCACUUACUCCAGAACGAGCCCCGCGGUUAUCCCUAAAGAGGAUUUACCGGCGUUAAAUUUUUGGUAGUCGGGACGAGCGUCGGCAACAAGCGUAUCGUCCUGA